rnacentral:lncRNA from 1 species
CGGGCGUCCGCUCAGCCCGCGCUCGCCUCCAGCACCACGGACAGCCCCGAACGGGCCGGGCAGGGUCCGCAGCCCCCGCGCAGGGUCCGCAGCCCGGCCCCGCUCCGCUCCGGAGCAGCGAGCGCGCGGCACUUGUGGAGCGGAGUGCGCGUGAGAGGGAGCGCGGGAGGAGGAGGAGGAGAAGGAGGAGGAGGAGGAGGAAGAGGAGGACCGAGGGGUGGAGGUGGCGGCGGCGUGCGGGGCACCGCGCCGGGCUGGCAGAGGGGCGUGGAGGGGCCGCCAAGCGGGAGGGCUGAGGCGAGGGCGCUGCAGGGGCGGGAGGAGGAGAAGGGCGAGCGAGGAGCCUCCCCGCGCAGCCUGGUGCCAGCGCGGGCCGCCGGGGGCACCCACCCUCCGCUCCCCCGCGGAGCCCGGCGCGCUCUCUCGCACAACUCCCUCAGACACCCGCCGAACCCCGCCCGCGGCCGGGCUGCCAGGGCAGGGCGCGGGAGGCUGGACGGACCCGCCGCGGCAUCCAGCCACGGGGAAGGGAGAUGCGCCGUGGCGGGCGGGCGAGCGCGGUGCCAGCGGGGAGAGCCCAGCCCGUCCUCUGAGGCGGCCGCGGGAAGCUGCGUGCCAGAGACGGGGCUGCCCGCCCGCCUGUCCCCCCUGGCAGCCCCGCUGAGGGGCCGGCGAUUUCUCCCUUUCUCCCUCCCUCUCCCUCUCUCUCUCUCUUCUCCCCUCUCUCUCUUCCUCCCUUCCAGCCCCUCUGGGGCUCUCCGUCCUCGCAUCAGCCCCGCCGCAGAACCGACCCCCGCCUCACCCGCUCCCCGCCAUCCCUUACAUAAGAGACCUCCCGUCCCGGCGGGCGCUCCCCACAGGUGCGGCUCCAAAAGCGCGGGAGCGCCUCCUCGUCCCUCGCCUCCCUCAGCCCGCCUCACGCCAAGCGGGGUAAGGGGCAGCCGGCCCGGGCUGGGCUGCGCUGGGCGAACGUGGGGCAGCUCCGCGGCAGGAGAGCUCCUCUGCCGAUAA